rnacentral:rRNA from 1 species
UACGAAGGGGGCGAGCGUUGUUCGGAAUCACUGGGCGUAAAGGGCGCGUAGGCGGCGGACCAAGUCGAGUGUGAAAGCCCCGGGCUCAACCUGGGAGGUGCGCUCGCGACUGGUUUGCUGGAGUUCGGGAGAGGAGCGUGGAAUUCCCAGUGUAGAGGUGAAAUUCGUAGAUAUUGGGAAGAACACCGGUGGCGAAGGCGGCGCUCUGGACCGAGACUGACGCUGAGGCGCGAAAGCGUGGGGAG